rnacentral:rRNA from 1 species
UACGAAGGGGGCUAGCGUUGUUCGGAAUUACUGGGCGUAAAGCGCACGUAGGCGGAUAUUUAAGUCAGGGGUGAAAUCCCAGAGCUCAACUCUGGAACUGCCUUUGAUACUGGGUAUCUUGAGUAUGGAAGAGGUAAGUGGAAUUGCGAGUGUAGAGGUGAAAUUCGUAGAUAUUCGCAGGAACACCAGUGGCGAACGGCGGCUUACUGGUCCAUAACUGACGCUGAGGUGCGAAAGCGUGGGGAGCAACAGG